rnacentral:rRNA from 1 species
UACGUAGGGGGCUAGCGUUGUCCGGAAUCAUUGGGCGUAAAGCGCGCGUAGGCGGCCCGGUAAGUCCGCUGUGAAAGUCAAAGGCUCAACCUUUGAAUGUCAGCGGAUACUGCCGGGCUAGAGUCCGGAAGAGGCGAGUGGAACUCCUGGUGUAGCGGUGGAAUGCGCAGAUAUCAGGAAGAACACCAACGGCGAAGGCAGCUCGCUGGGACGGAACUGACGCUGAGGAGCGAAAGCGUGGGGAGCGAACAGG